rnacentral:rRNA from 1 species
CCCUUAGAUGUUCUGAACCGCACGCGUGUUACACUGAUGCAUUCAACGAGCUUUACCUUGGCCGAGAGGCCUGGGAAAUCUUUUUAGCAUGCAUCGUGAUAGGGAUUGAUUAUUGCAAUUAUUAAUCAUGAACGAGGAAUUCCUAGUAAACGCAUUUCAUCAAAAUGCAUUGAUUACGUCCCUGCCCUUUGUACACACCGCCCGUCGCACCUACCGAUUGAGUGGUCCGGUGAAGUCUCGGGAUUGUGGCAAUCUCCUUUAUUGGAGUUUGACUGCGAGAACUUGCCUAAACCUUAUCACUUAGAGGAAGGUGAAGUCGUAACA